ACCUAGCUGGCUCAGUAGAGUAUGAGACUCCUGAUCUCGGGGUUGUGAGUUCAAGCCCCAUGCUGAGUG
rnacentral:tRNA from 1 species